UACGAAGGGGGCUAGCGUUGUCCGGAUUUACUGGGCGUAAAGAGCGCGCAGGCGGUCGUUCAAGUCGCGUGUGAAAGCCCCCGGCUCAACUGGGGAGGGUCACGCGAUACUGAUCGACUCGAAGGCAGGAGAGGGUAGUGGAAUUCCCGGUGUAGUGGUGAAAUGCGUAGAUAUCGGGAGGAACACCAGUGGCGAAGGCGACUACCUGGCCUGUUCUUGACGCUGAGGCGCGAAAGCUAGGGGAGCAAACGGGG
rnacentral:rRNA from 1 species